CCUACGGGUGGCAGCAGUGAGGAAUAUUGGUCAAUGGACGCAAGUCUGAACCAGCCAUGCCGCGUGCAGGAAGACGGCUCUAUGAGUUGUAAACUGCUUUUGUACGAGGGUAAACGCAGAUACGCGUAUCUGUCUGAAAGUAUCGUACGAAUAAGGAUCGGCUAACUCCGUGCCAGCAGACGCGGUAAUACGGAGGAUUCAAGUGUUAUCCGGAUUUUUUGGGUUUAAAGGGUGCGUAGGCGGUCGGAUAAGUUAGAGGUGAAAUACCGAGGCUCAACUUCGGAAUUGACUCUGAUACUGUUCGGCUAGAGAGUAGUAGCGGUAGGCGGAAUGUAUGGUGUAGCGGUGAAAUGCUUAGAGAUCAUACAGAACACCGAUUGCGAAGGCAGCUUACCAAGCUACUUCUGACGUUGAGGCACGAAAGCGUGGGGAGCAAACAGGAUUAGAUACCCUUGUAGUC
rnacentral:rRNA from 1 species